CGGUAUCAUCAGCCGGGCCAUUACUCAUGCGACCACGCAUAUAAGGAUCACAAGACAAGUAGAGAUUCUUGACCAAAACAGCUUUACUUCCUUCUGGUACUUUAAGCUUAAUAGAAGUAGUGUUUAUGUACAAGUCAGAUUCAUUAGGAAACCCAGUCACAUGGUUCUUUAAUAUCACCUGCUUAUUGCUCACUACCUCGCCUUCGUUCGCCAUUGCUUCUAUUUUCUGUUUCUGAGUACUUCUUUCUAUAAAUGACCUUAUCUUUUUUGAAACAUAAAUGACCUUGACCUAUACUGAUAGUUUCUGGAAAGUGGAUAAGAAGAGGAAAGCAUUAUAAACGUGAAUUUCGUCGGGUGGGGCAAAAGGAAUACAGAAACAGGUAUGCAAUAACUCACAUAUAUGACGUAAUGAAUGAUAUGUUUGAUUUGACAUUUUAAAGAUGUUUUGUUUUACAGGAAAUUACUAUUACAUCCAUUAUCUAUCGAAAUACAACUACUCAAUACCUGUAUUUUUUGACAUGCUUUUAAGAAUCCUUAUAUUGCUUCACAAUUUUAGUCAUUCCAUUCAAUUUUAUCUAAUUAGGGUAAAAAAAAAAAAAAGAGAAUGAAAUUUCAUUUUAAAAAUACCCCUGUGUUCUGUUUUUAGGAAGAAAUAUGAAUUUUAUUAAUGGAUAUCUAAAAAUAAGAACCAAAUAUAUUUUUCUUAAAUUUUUACAUUAAAUUAUUCAUUUGAUUUUGUUACUAGGAAAUGAUUUUUUGUAGUGGACCAUAUAUUUGAUUUUAUUAUUAAAAAUUUAUUUUAAUAAAUAUUAAAUUUGAGGUUUCAUUUAAUUUAUAAAAAACUAUCUUCAAGAAAUAUUUAUCUCAAUAAACAAUAACGUAGAAAAAAAUAUCACCAAAUAUUUUAAACAUUGAUAUUAUUCCAAUGACAAAACAAAAAUUUAUUCAGAGGAAUGCUUUUAAUUAACGUCACAAUUAUUUAUAAAUUGUAAAAUAUUAAAAAUAUUUUCAACAUGAUUAAGCAUCCAAAAUUAAAUAAAAACUUCAGAAAAAAAUAAGAUUCCUAAUAAAAAUUUAAACCAUUUCCAAAGUUUGCCAUUUAUUUUCAAAAGAAAAUUGAUUUUUUUUUUUAUUUAUCAAAACCAUCUAUUCAAUUAGUAGAUGAAAAAAAAAAACCAGCAGCACUAGUUAGAUCAAUCUGUUUCUGCCACUCAUUUUCAAAGAAAAUUGAAAGCUUUUUUUUUUUUUAACACUAUCUCUUCAAAAUUACAUCAAUCUAUUUCUUAUUCCUUUAAUCCAUCUCCUCCCAAUCAUAAACUGGAUCAUAGAUACAACAAUCGGGUCGGUUUGAAAACAAUGAAGAUCAAUGCUUUUGAUUUGUCUCCUAAACAAUUGGUGAAGAUAUAACUAAAACACGGAAACUUAUGUGAUAUCAACUUAUCUCUCUGUAAGAGAAGAUUAGCGAUGAAUUGGGUUGUACAAAAAGAAACAUACAAAGAACAAGAGAGAGAAAAAGGAAAAUAAAGUUGUUGGAGAGAGAAAAUUACUUGAGAUGAAAAUAGUAAGGUUAUUGAGGUAAUUUUAUAUUCAUUUAACGGACAAAACAUAUUAAAUUGGACGGAAGGCCUAAAUGUAUGAGGGAAUGAAACGUGUUGACUUCAAAAAGGCAUUUUAAAAAAUACAGAGACCAACUUCAACUAAAGUUGUAUUUUCAAAUAUAUAAGAAUAUAAUAAUAAUAAUUUUCCCUUUGUUUUACGCUAUUUUCUUGAUUCCACAGUUUUCAUUAAUUGUAAUAGUAAGAGGAAUGAAUGUUAACUAGUUAGUGCGUUAUGAUGGGUUUCACUAGAAGGACUUAGUGCGCAUUAUGAUGGGUUUCACGGGAAGUAUUUCAACUUUAUGAACACGUAAGAUAUUAAUUUCAAUUUAUAAUUUAAAAAUACUCAAAUUUUAAUUUAUUAUUUAAAAUUAUAUGACCAUACCAACAACAAGCAAUAAUAUAAUUUAAAAAUACUCAAAUUCAAUUUAUUAUUUAAAAUUUUAGUGUAGUUGACUCAGUUAUUAUCAUGUCCAUACCACAGCAAUCAAUACUUAUAUGUUUAUUAUUCAUAUAAGACAUCUAAUAGUCCGUAAUAAUACUGUAAAUUAUGCAAUAAGGUCAAUUCUUGUCUUUUAAUAAUAUUUAUUAAAUUCGUAAUUAUUUUUUAUAUAAUGGAGAUGACUCAAUCAAAGCAAAUUACCUAUAUUAGAUUGCAGGACCCUUAUUAUACUUUAGUUUAUUUAUUUUCAUUAAUUUAUUUAAAAAAAUUUAUUUUAUAUAAAAUUAUUAUAUUUUGUUUUUGCUUAAGAGUUCCAUUUUAUUAAUAUACAUAAAAUUAUUGUGAAUAUAUAGUAAUUAAGAUAUUAAAUUUACUAUGUUUGAUUUAUUAUAUUUUGCUAGACAUUAUUUUUAAAAUUUUUAAUUACAUUUUUAAUAUUUAUACAUAAUUGCAUUACCUUUUUGCAAUUUAUCAUUCCAUUAUUAUUAAUCAAAAUAAAUAAAUAAAUAAAUACUCAGUGGAAUACUCAACCAUCGUCAACCAAUACGGGUGAAAUAGUUUAUUGCAUCUAACGGGUGAAAAGAAUUUUUGAUUUUUUAGUAAUUGAUAAGAUAUAGUUUGAUUUUUUAGUAACCCAACUAUUUGCCCAAUCCUAAUUACAUGGGCUAAAUUCAUAUCACCUGCUUGUUGCUUGUCACUUCCUCACUUGACAUUUUGUUAGUGUGUUUUUGGAUAUAUUAUCAUAUCCAGAGCAUAUGUCUCUUUUAUACUAGUUGAAGAUGAUGUCUACAUCUAUUAUUGAUUGUCAUACGUUUAUGUUCAAAUGGUUAUACCUUAAAAAAACAAAUAUCAGCUAUAAUAAAAAAUUCUGGCGGCUAUCUUGGUUUAGGAGAAGUAACGUGGAAGCACCUGGAGCUUAAUAAUUAUUUUAUUAAAAUAGGGGGAAAAAAAAAAUCUAGGCGGCUUCGAAGUUUUAUUUUCAUUUUUGAAUAACUCCAAAUAUUUUAUUAAAAGAGGAAAAAUCAUUACAUGCACACAGAUGAAAAAAUUGAAUUGAAAAAUGUAUAUACUUUUUGUGUUUCUAUUUAUACAUCAAAUCAAUUAAAAAUAAUUUUUAAACUCAAAAAAAUAAUAUUUUUACUCUUUAUUAAAAAAAAAAUUUAAAAAUAGCUCUUUUAAUUGGAAGGGAGCAUGGGGAAUCCACCAAUGCAAAAUAAAAAAACUGACCUCAAGAAAACGUAUCGAAUUGUAAAAAUAUUUGGGUUAAACAUGAUUUAGAGUAUAUUCUUUUAAUGCUAAUCGGUAUUCGCAACCGUUAAGACAGAUGACUUGAUUCGAAAGAUUUUAACCAUCUUUUAAAUUUAAAAUUAUUUAAAUUCUAAAUAUAUAAUUUACUGAUCAAAGGCUAUAGGAGUGCACAUGCAUAGAUGAUCAACUAUAUUGGAUAUUUACAAAUUUUAUUUUCAAAUUUUAAUAUCUUAGGUGAAUGUAUGUAUAUAACUUGAUGCAUUGUCUUACUUAUGCUUCCAAAUAGUAGGUUUUUACUGGGUAAAAUUUCAGUAAUUAAAUUAAUUAAUUGCAGAAACCUUCAUGAAAAUCUGUUAAGUGAUUGUCAAGGAUGCCUGCACCCAAUUCAAUCAUCAUUUCCUUUUUUUGUUUUUUUUUUCAUCACAUAAAUUAAAUAUCAGGUACCUUCAACGUUGUCUAAUUAUUAGUAGCUACUACUUUGUUUUUUCAUGACUAAAUAAAUUGAAGAGUGCAAAUAAUAUCUUGCCCGAAUGAUAAGACUGAUGUCCUGAAACUAAUUAUUAUUAGUGUUUCGUAUUUUCAUAAAUCAGUGAGUUGCAAUCGCCGUUAAUUUCACCUAUGACCGACUGAAUUACAGGAGUAAUUAAAUUGUUAUAUCUAAAAUUUAAUUUUUUUUUUAGUAAUAAAAGAGGAGAUUCAAAUUUGUAUCUAUUGUUAGGCCGUACACGCAUAUAAGGAUCACAAGAUAAGUAAAGAUUCUUAACGCGAAGAGUUUUUCAUCUUUUGGAAACUUCGAGCGAUUUGGUGAUAAUAUAUAUAUGGAAAUCCUUUUGAAUCAAAUUAUUGAAUUUUUUUUUUAAGAAGGCAAAUUAUUGAAGUUGAUACAUAUUUAUCUGACAAAUUGAGUAAAAUUUCUAAUUUCUUUCUAUAAAAAUUAGAUAUUAUCAUCCUUAUUUGAUUAUACAUAUUUUCUAUCUAUUAUAAAAAGCAAUAUAUAUAUAUAUAUAUAUCAACAUAUUAACAAUAAAUAAAACACAACUAAUUUGCUUUUCUCUCUAUUUUGAUUCGGUUCGAUUAUUGAAAAUUCAGUUUUCUAUUUUUUCAAUUAGUUUUAUAAGUUGAGUUUAAUAUGAUAGUUACAAUGACACGCUGACGGAGCUAGGGGCCAGGGGUGGCCCCCCGCUCCCAAUAAAAUUUUUUUUAAAAGAGAUACCCACAAAAUAUUGAAUUUUUUUUUUAUUUUUGCCCUCCAAAAUAGUAAAUUUUGUCGAUUUCCCCCUUAAACUCUAGAAAUAUGUUUUAGCCCUUAAUUUCAAUUCGUGGCUCAAUCACUGCAAUGACAUGCAAAUAAUGAAGAAAAAUAGGAAGAGAAGGCUGAUGCGUAGAAAACAUCUCUAGAAGCAAGCAUAUAUAUAUAUAUAUAUAUAUAUAUAUAUAUAUAAAAUAUAAACCUUGCAAGAGAAUUAGAACACAUGUAAGGGAAAUCUUAUCAGAAAAACUGAAACAAAGGCUAAUAUAUACUGAAGAACAGCAGAAGGGACAGGAAAAAAAUUUCAUUAUUAUAUUUAAUGAAGUAGAAUAAGAAAAUUACACAAGGAUUCAUCACUCACGAUGAACUACAACCUCCUGUUUUCCAACAUUUUGACCGUGAAAAAGCCUUGCAAGAGCUGCAGGGCCUUUCUCCAGGCCUUCAACAAUAUCCUCCACAUAUGUUAUCUUUCCUUCUCUAAUAGAAGGCAAUAUAAAAUCCAAGAACUUGCAAUAUUCCUUAAAGUACUCAAUAACUACAAACCCUUCUAUACGAACACCUUCAAGCUCCUCACGAUUGUACUGUGAUAUCAUUCCGCAAGCAGCCACACGGCCAUGGACUCUCAUGUUCAGAAGCACCGCAUCUAACAUUUUGCCCCCAUCAUUUUCGAAAUAGAUGUCAAUGCCUUCAGGGACGUAUCUAUAAAUAGCAAUUCAAAAAAAUCAGUUGUGAAGUUAUAAAUAUAAUUUUGUCAUCAAAUAGUUGAGAAGCUAAUAAAUAAUUUUCUUUAACAGUCAACCUUUUCAAAGCAGCAUUCAAGUCAGGCUCCUCUUUGUAAUUGAAAGCCUCAUCAAAUCCAAAAUUGUUCGUCAAUAAAUCAACCUAAAUUUUACAUGUUAAAUUUAUGCAGCAUCUAUAAUUUCACUUUGCACAAAUUGCUCUCCUAAAGUGCCAAUUGUCGUGUACACAUCAAGCAUGCUUGGCCGUUGCUCUGCAAUCUCUUGAACACAAGUACAUGCAAGUUGAAGACAUUGAAAGAUUUCAUCAUCAUGUCCUUGCCCUAUCAGAAGCUCAUCCACGAAAUCAUGCAGACAAUAAGAGUUAUUGGAAGAAUGGUAGCUUACCCAUUUAUCCAAGCUUCCAUCAGAAAUGUUUAAAGUAGCAGCAUUUUUUCCUGUAAUGAGCUCAAUCAGCAGAAUUCCAUAGUUGAAAACAUUUCUUUAAGAAAACACCUUUCCCCAAAUUCAGUAUCCAUAACAAAACCCCUGUUUGAGUUUAUCUCAUUUGGAUUGACAAGUGUCGCCCUUCCGAAGUUUGAUAGCUUAGGCUUAAAAUUCCGAUCAAGCAAAACACAUUUUGAGUUUAUGUUCAAAUGAGCUACACGGAAGUAGCAGCAAUGGUGAAGCCACGCUAAGCCUCUCGCUAAACCAACGGCGAUUUUCAUUCUUAAAGGCCAUUGCAGAGUCUUUCUUUUGUCCUCCGUUGACUGUAACCAAUCAAAAAGGUUUCCAUUUGAUAAGUACUUAUACACCAGAAGCUUUUUAUUUGAUUCUUUGCAGAAUCCGAGGAGUGGAAGUAAGGGGUCAUGUCUUAAUCUUUCUAAUAUCUUCAAUUCAGAUAUGAAAUGCUCUUCAGAUUGUUGAGAAUUAUAGAUUUUCUUGACUGCAAGAAACCAACCAUUAGGAAGUGUUGCUUUAUACAUAAUCCCCGUUUCUCCAUUUUCGAUUAUGUUAUUUUGGCUAAAAUUUUCUGUUGCGUUGCUGAGCUCUUCAAAACUCAUUCUUGUAACAAAAUUCUCCAGCAUAGAAACCUGUAAACAUAUUCAAGCUUAUUGGUAUGAGGCAGAGCAUCGGAUAUAUUUGCAUUAUGACAUAAAUAUGCUGACACACCUAUUUUUGGAAAACUAGUACAUGUCACAUUAUUGUGCAGUCACAUUGUUGUGCAAGUUGUCUGGGUUAGGAACCGGUACAUGCCAUAUUUCGAUCUAUAAUAACUUGCUUAGACCCGGUUUAUUGGCCGAUCAAUUGAUUAGAUCAAUAAAAAAACUAUUUUUUUAAUGAGAAUAUUUUUUAUCAUUUAAUGGGGAAAAAAAGAGAUAAAAUGAGAAUAGUUUUUAAAAAAUAUAUAUAUUAAUUGCUUUGGUCCAUAACUGCCCUAUAGAUGUAAUUUGACUGCUCAAAAGAAGUUCGGUUGAUCAUGUCGCUCUAUCUGAACCAAAAUUAUUGUUUGUCUCAUCUUGAUCUUAAAAUCAAACCGAUUAAACAGCACAAAUUGACUAAUACAAUUCGAGUCGAUUCGAUUUAAAUACCCAUUUUCAGUUCGACUCAUUUUACUUAUGGAAAUUUCAGUUUUGUAUUUUCUUUCACCUUAGUUUGAUUCAGAUCACUAUUUGCUCACCCCUAAAUGUAGGAAAAAUAAUUUUCUUUAAGAGUACUUUUAAUAUCUUAGUCACUUAAUGGAAAAAUAACUAUUGGACCUUAUAAUGUAUUGGAAUUAUAAUGCAAAGGCUAGAGAAAGAUUAGAGAAGAAUGAGAUUUCUUAUUUCUGGAAUUAAAAAUAUUAAAUCAUGUGUCAUUAUCUUACUUUUUUGGCUUAUAUGUAGAGUUAUGGGCUAGGUCUAGACGUCCAGUAAGUAUUAUAGGGCUAAGGGCAAUUUUAUCAAUCUUUUUUAUACUCCAUUAUUUGACAUGCCAAAAUCCGACGUGUCAAGUUAUUUAUCAUCUUAAUCAGUAUUAUUUUGAAUAUUAAGUGGACUUCAUAAGUCCUAUUUAUGUUUCUGGCAAGCCACGUAAGACGGAGACACCUGAUUAAAAAAAAUUUAUCGAUUUAAAUAUUUGGUUGUAAAUAUUUUCCGUUAAAACACUGAAAUAGAAAUUUUUCGAAAGUUCAGACACUAAAUUUAUAAUUAACCCAAUUUAAAACAUAUAAUUCAUUUGAGUUUGACAUAAUCAUGCAUGUAAUAAAUUUAUAAUUGAAAAUUCAUUUACUUUUAUUUCCUAAAAUAUCCUUAAAAUAGUAAUUUCAUAAAAAUAAAUCAUAAAUACCAAUUAUAUUUAUGUUAUGCUAUAUAAUUUUUUUAUAUUUUUAUUAAAAUAAAAGUAAAUUAUUGCAUUUGAUUCAGUGGUAAGUGUAUAUUUAACUCGAAUCUCUCUCAAUAGUAAAAAAAUGUUAAAAAAUAUUUAAAUAAAAGAUAAAAAUAUUAAAAUAAAAAACACAUUAAUAAAAAAUAUUUUUCUAAAAAAAAUAAAAUUUUAAAAUUAUUUUGGUCAAGUUUAAUAAAAUAAAUAAGUUAAAUAAGUAAAUUGAUAAAUUGACUUUGUAGGAGAAGAAUGGUAUAGUUUUGUCAUCAAAAGUUGAAUUACUUAGUUUUGUGGAAAUUCCACUUAUUUUGUGAAAAUUUGAUGUAAUUAUAUUCAAUCCCAUGAAUUGAAUUUCUAUAAUUGAAAUUGAAAUUUUUUUUUUUUUAAUUUCAAACACAAAAAUAUGGGUUUGCAAAUGAUUGCACAAAUUUGUUCCAAACAAAGGGGUUAACAAUUUGAAACUAGUAUUUUCAGCAUACUGCCUCAUUUUUUUAUUAUUAUUUAUCAAAUAUGAAACCUAAAUAAAGUUCGUUAAGAUUAUAAGUGUCCCAGUAAAUAUAAGAGUCUAACUAAUAACGUAAAUGAAAUACCUCAUUCUCCAGUAGAAACUCCAGAGUUGACGAGCUCUCCAAAUGGUCAAGCUCUGUUUUCUUGCUUUUUCUCUUCAUCAUCAUCAUCACCAUUGUUGUUAUUGUGAUCCUCUCAUCCUUUGUCCCCGCAUGCACCCAAGGUACGCAAUAAGAAGCAUAAAUUACCAUAGCAGAAAUCAAAGAAACUGCGUAUCCAAUAGCAAACCCAUCUUUGAAUGAAUAAACAAAUCGCCAGUGGAAUUUCUCCGAAUGAACUCUGCAUCUUUCCAAAGGCCUUCCACAGAGUCCACUGUUAUUUGCGUAGGAUCCAAUAUAUGUAGAAUUAAAAUUGGGUACUGCUCCUGAUAACAAAUUAUUAGCAACACUAAACCACUUGAGCCGACUAAGCAAACCAAUUCCUUGUGGAAUAUGACCGGUUAAACUGUUGUUGUCAAGUCUAAGAACAGUUAAAUUAGAGCAAUUAGCAAUGCUCAAUGGGAUUUCACCAGAGAAUUUAUUGGAGGAUAAAUCAAGCAAUGUAACAGACGGUAGUAGUUUUUGAAUAUCAAAUGGAAUUUGUCCAUAAAGCUCGUUAUUGGUUAAGUCUAGGACUGUUAAGCUUGUACAAUUUUGAAGCCCUCUAGGGAACCGACCUUUAAGUCCCAUAUCAUAGAGGCUGAGACUUAAAACCUUGUUUUCAUCAUCAGGCCCGCAAUCCACACCAGCAAACCUACAAAUAAAACCUUCUAUAUUGUUGUUGAAAUUCCAGGAAGAAUUCAAGUAACCAAAAGGGUCUUCUAAGGAAGCUUUGACAGAUUUUAAGCAAGCAAUAUCAGUUUCUGUACUGAUAGUUGCAGUAAAAGUGGCCAAAAAUGAAAAGAUAAAUAUGCACAGAGAAACUGCACCAACUCUUCUAGUUUUGCAAGACAUCUAAUUACUGAAAUCUAAAAGCUGCAAAAGAAACAAUAUAGUGAUGGAUAAAGGAUUCAAGGAAGGGCUAGCAAUGAAUUAUGUAUAUGCUCAAGUGGAUGGACUUGUCUAGCAACAAUUGAUGGUAUGUGUAACUUGCUAGCUACAAUAUUUAAAGAGAAUUGAUGGUAUAAUUUUCACAUUGUAAAAAAGCUCGAUCCAUGAAAAGCAUUUAUAGAGAGAGGAUAGCCACAGACUCUAAAACAAAUUAAUAUUAUAUUUAAAGAAAAUGUGAAAAUACCCGAAAUUUUUUUUUUUUAAAAAAAGAUAUACAUAUACAUAUAUAAGUCCAAGGAAGAAUCCUGUCCUCCAACAUGCGUUGGGCAGACUUUGAUUUGCAUGUACACAAAUUUUCCAUACCGUAAAAGACUUGCUUUUCCACGACCCCGACCGGAUCGAGAAAAUUUUUUUUCCAAAGCCAACAUAUAAUAAAUAUUAUAAAGAUGACUUAAUAGCAAUUUAAAGAAGGGUCCUAAAGGAAAUUUAUAAAAGAUGAAAAGUGAAUUAAUCCCUUCUUUUUGGGUUCGAUGGUUUUUACUGUUUCAUAUUUUUCCUCAAUUUUGUAAUAUAAGUUCAAUUUCAUCAAGGUUUAUUUGAUGUAAUUCUAUUUUUUUAAUGAAUGAAUUCAAUGAUACGGUCGGAAAUUAAAAUUAGGGGGUAAAAUAAAAUUUUUAAGAAUUAAAGGGAUGAAAUUGAUAAAUUUAUUAUUUUAAGGAUAAAAUAAAAAAAUUUGAAAUUUUAUGACAUAAUUCUUUGAAAAAGAAUUAGUUAGAGGCGGGCCACCCCGGCCCCCUAGCUCAGAAAUACGACUUUUAUUUUUUUAAUAAUUACUACUUAUUAAGUGAGUAAAUUAACGAUAGAUAAUUUUAUGGAUCCUACAUUUACCUAUAAAAUGUUAAUAAUUUUCAAUUUUAUCUAUAAAAUAAUAAAUGUUUUCAAUUUUAUCUCCCUUAAAUUUUAAAAAAAAUUUACCCCACCUCUUAUUUUUGGCUCCGUUACCGGUAUUGAUAUAUGGUUAUGAUGGAUUAUUUGUCUGUAUUGUAGUUUUAUUUUAAUAUUAAAUUCUAUUUAUUUAUUUAAAGGAACAUGAUAUUAAUGCAAUAUAGGAAAAGUUUAUAACUGUGGUUAUCCUUUAGAAAAUGUAGUAAUUUUAAAUAAAAGAACUAAAAUUAGAACCAAAUAACCAAAACUGCAGAAUGGAAGUACCUAAUUGAAAUUUUGAGAACUGGAACUGAGACAGUGUACCGAAUUUCUUUUGUUUCAAUUCCAGUUCCUGAAAAACAAGAAAUCGAAACUGGAACCAGAUAACCACGAAGCCCCCAAGGAAGUAUCCUCUUUCAAUAUCUAUAUAGCGGGUCAACCAGCCCGAAGACUUUGAUUUCGAUGUACAUGGACUUUCUUUUUUCCACCACUUCAAUUUUCCAUGCCGUGAAAGACUUGCUUUUGGACUUUCUUUUUAUUCUGCAGUUAAAUAUUUCGUAAUCGUAUUUCAAGAACAACACAAUAUUUCUGUACAAGAAUUAUGGGGUUCUUGUUCUUCAUCCACUUAACUCUUUUAUUUCUCUUGAGUACGUCUACAUUCAGUACCAGCACUGAUACUGAUAUUGCAUGCCUGAAAUCAAUCAAAGACUCCUUCAAAGAUCCUCAACAUCGCUUACACUCUUCCUGGAACUUAAAUAACAAUACCCACGAUUUCGUCUGUUAUUUUGCUGGUGUUGAUUGCUGGCACAUAGACGAAAAUAAAGUCUUAAAUCUCAAUCUCGCCAAUAUGGGUCUCGAAGGCAACUUUCCUACGGGUAUUGAGAACUGCACAACCCUUACAGGCUUGAACCUUUCAGGCAGCCAAAUCUCCGGCACAAUCCCAUCUGAUAUAUCCAAAAGAAUCCCAUUUCUCUCCGUUCUUGAUCUAUCUCAUAAUAAUCUCUCUGGUGAAAUUCCUGUUAGUAUAGCCAAUUGCUCUUUCCUUAAUGUGCUAAUACUUGAUAAUAACAGGUUAACAGGGCAAAUACCGACGGAGAUUGGGCUCCUGAGUCGACUCCGGAGAUUUAGUGUUGCUAACAAUUUGUUGUCUGGGCCUGUGCCUAAUUUUAAUCCUAAUUUCACUGCUUGGGUUGGUAGUGAUGGUUAUGCAAAUAAUGAAGGACUAUGUGGUGUACCUUUGGAUCCUUGUCUUCCUCCUCCUAUUGAGUUCCCUGUUCCCUUCUUUCAUGGGUUUGUUGUUGGUUAUGCUGUUGCUUUUGCUCUGGUUAUUGUUCUUUUUGCUCUGUAUUCUACAACCAAGUUUUCGAAGAAUAAGGUUCUAGGGAAGAAAAUUAAAAAGCCAAUAAAGAUACCAAUUGAUGGAAGAAGGAUGGAUAUAAAGGUAUAUAUAUCACUCUCUGUAUUUAACAUAUUCUGGGUACACAAAUUAUUAUUGAAUAUUGUUUAUGGGCUUAUAAUAUAUUUUGGAAAAAGUUUUCAACAUCAUUUUCAAAAAGCUACAUUAACAUCCUCUACUCUACCCAUUAGCUUGGUCUUUAAUGUUAAUUCAUUUUGUCUAGUUGUUUAAAGUACCCAGAUAUUAUAUAAUCAAGAGAAGUUGAUUUUUUUUUUUCAACAGAUUUCUACAUUGGAGAGGAUGGUUACAAGAAUGAGUUGCAAAGAAAUUGCUGAUGUAACUUCAAAUUUCGAUAAAGAGAAUAUCAUUGGUCAAGGAAAAAUGGGAACAAUGUACAAGGCAACACUUCCAAAUGGUUGGUUUCUUGCUAUUAAGAGGCUCUACAAUUUCCAGAAUUUCAAGAAAGAAUUUGUAUGUGAGCUAAUGACUUUAGGUAGGUUAAGACACACUAACUUAGUGCCUCUAAUAGGAUUCUGCAUAGAAAAGAAAGAAAUGCUUCUAAUCUACAAAUACAUUUCAAAUGGAACCCUUUAUGAUUGGCUUCAUAAAACCAAAAUUGGUGGUGAUAAUAACAUUGAUUGGCCUUUAAGGGUUAAAAUAGCAAUUGGAUUAGCAAGAGGCUUGGCUUGGCUUCAUUUCAUUACAACCCUAAUAUUCAGGUUAUUCAUCUCAACAUAACCUCCAAAUGUAUUUUACUUGAUCAGAAAUUUGAGCCCAAAAUGUCGAAUUUCAAUGGAGCUCUGUUCUUGAAUCGAAAUGAUACACAAUCAACUAGAGAUUUCAUUGUGCAUAGAGAAUUUUGGGAGAUGGGUUUUGUUAAGAAGGAUGUCCACAGCUUUGGAAUGCUUCUUGUUGAGCUAAUUACAGGAAAGGAUCCUACUGGAAUCAUCAAUUCGUUUAGCAUAUUUAAUGGUACUGAGCUUUCAAUUAGUUCUUCUGGACUUUAUGAUGCUAUUGACAAGCGUAUUGUUGGGCAAGGAAAUGAUGGAGAGAUAUUUCAGAUCCUGAGAAUUGCUUGUGAUUGUGUUCAGGCCUUUCCUGAGAAAAGGCCAACAAUGCUUAAGGUCUAUAGAACAUUAAGGGCUAUUGGACAGAGAUAUGGGCUUGAAGAUGAUUCUGAUAUGUUGUCACAAACUGAAAUCUCCAUGUUUAAAUUGGGUUUGAAAUAAUAAUGCUAUUGAUUUCACUUUUCUCGACUGUGUUUUUUCUUUUAAUACAUCCAAAAUAUUUUUCCAAUUUAUACUUUGCUUUGCUAUUAAUUUGAUUAGAGUGGAUAUUGGAAACAAAUGAUUCAUAUAGCCGAUCCGAACUAGAUCGGCUCUAAUUAACUACUACACUUGAUAUACAACUUACAGAAUGUGUGUAACAGAAGCAUGCUUUUGCUUCCAACAAAUCUCAAGCCUAUUAAGAAAUUUGUCCUAAUUUCUUGUAGCUUGUAAAAUCUCAAUCGCUGAUAGUGCUAAUUGUCGUGUACACAUCAAGCAUACUUGGCCGUUGCACUGGAGAUUGAUGAAUGCAGUUAGACGCAACUUUGAGGCAUCGAAAGAUCUCAUUGUCAUGUCCUUUCCCUAUCAGGAGCUCAUCGACAAAAUCAUGUAGACGAUCAGAGUUACUAGAAGAAUGAUAGUUUACCCAUUUAUCCAAGCUUCCAUCAGAAAUGUUUAAAGAAGGAGAAACUUUUCCUGUAAUGAGCUCAAGAAGCACAAUUCCGUAGUUGAAAACAUCUUCCUUAAGAAAACAUUCUUCCCAGAACUCAAUAUCCAUAACAAAACCCCUACUUGAAUUGAUCUCUUUCGGAUUUAUGAGCGUUGCCAUUCCAAAGUUUGAUAACUUAGGCUCAAAAUUCUGAUCGAGUAAAACACAUUUUGUGUUCAUGUUCAAAUGAGCUACACGGAAAUUGCAGCAAUGAUGAAGCCAUGCUAAGCCUUUUGCUAAACCAAUAGCAAUUUUCAUUCUUAUAGGCCAUUGCAGAGUCUUUUUCUCGUCAUCCAUUGAAUGCAACCAAUCGAAAAGGUUUCCAUUAGACAUAUAGUUAUACACCAGAAGCCUUUUCUUUUAUUCUUUGCAGAAUCCGAGCAGUGGAAGUAAGUUUUCGUGUCUUAAUCUUCCUAAUAUCUUCAAUUCAGAUAUGAAAUGUUCUUCAGAUUGUUUGGAAUUACAGAAUUUCUUGACUGCAAGAGACCAACCAUUAGGAAGUGUUGCUUUGUACAUAAUCCCCAUUUUUCCAAAUCCAAUUAUGUUAUUUUUGCAAAAAUUUUCUGUUGCAUCGCAGAGAUCUUUAAAACUCAUUCUCGUAACAAAAUUCUCCGAUGUAGAAACCUGUGAACAUAUUCAUGCUUGUUGGUAUGAGGCAGAGCAUCGGAUAUAUUUCCAAUUAACAAAGUAAAAGAAAUACCUCUUUCUCCAAUAGAAACUCCAAAGUUGACAAGCUUUCCAAAUAGUCAAGCUCUGGUUUCUUGCUUCUUCUCUUCAUCAUUAACAAGACAAAAGAAUUUGGAGAAAAUUCUGUAUAUCUUCAUGCUUCUGUAUCAUAUACAUUUAUACAAGAGAUAGCCUACAAUAUUCCUAAAUUUAAGCACAUCACAUCCCAUAUUUACAUCCCCAAUAAAUCCCCAGAUUACAGCUAUUAAAUACCAGAAUUAUAGCAAAUUAGUAAAGAUAUAUACAAUAAUUACAGCUGAUAUUGACUCACUAUACAGCUGUUAUUGACACCCCCCCCUCAAAUUGAUGCUGGUGAAUCAAGCAGCAUCAAUUUGUUUACGAAAAAUUGAUGUCGAGCAGCAGUGAGGGGCUUGGUCAGGAUAUCGGCGAUCUGCUGUGUUGUAGAAAUAUAUGGGAGGCUGAUUACAUUAUUAUCAGUGGAAUCUGACCGGAAAAGUUGUUAGAAGAAAGAUCAAGACUUGUAACAAAAUGAAGCUUUUUUGAUAUAUCGGAAGGAAUUGUUCCUUGAAGGUUAUUGUUAGACAGGUUUAGGCCGGUUAAGCUUGUACACUUUUCAAUUCCGUUAGGAAAUUGGCCAUUGAGUCCCAUAUCACUAAGUUCAAUAUUCAAUACCCUGUUUUCAUAAACAUGCCAGCAAUAAAUCCCGACGAAUUUGCAGAUGUUGCCUUCUGUAUCGUUGUUGAAGUUGUUAGAUUUCUGGCAUUUCAGUUCCAGCAUACUGUUAAUAUUUUUCUGUUAUUUCUUUUUUUUUACAGCAUCAAAUGGUGGAGUUAGUGGCUUAAGUUAGUGGCUGUUUUUUAGCUCUUAGUUGCAGAUUUUUUAUUCAGUUUUUAUCCACCUUAUGAGUGGCUUCUAAAUAGGAAGUUUGUUAUUUUCAUUCUUGUAUAAAUUCUGCAGUAUUCUUCAAUGAAAAAUAUGCUGGAAUUCUCUAUCAAUCUCAUAAGAUUUAAUCUGUAAAUUCUCCACUGUAGUUUGUUUUAACAGUGGUAUCAGAGCAGUUUAUCUUACGGGACCAAACUACAACCAAAGUUUUUUUAAUCCAAAACUCCAAAUGGCAUCCAGCAGCCAAUCUUUAAACCCGCCUAUCAUCUUAACUGGUCAAAAUUAUCACAUUUGGUCAGUGAAGAUGCAAGCUUUCUUGGAAGCCUUUGAUCUAUGGGAAUCUGUAACAGAGGAUAAACCAAUUCCUUCUCUACCAGCAAACCCCACCUUAGCACAAAUCAAAUCCAACAGUGAAGAAAAAGCAAAGAAAUCUAGAGCCAAGUCAGUUAUUCAAAAUUCAGUAGCAGAUUCUGUGUUCUACCGAAUUAUGGCUUGCAAAACUGCAAAGGAGGCUUGGGACAGGUUGAAGGAAGAAUACCAAGGCAGUGAUAGAACACGUCAAAUGCAAGUUUUGAACUUGAAAAGGGAAUUUGAGUCGUUGAACAUGUUGGAGGAUGAAACAAUCAGUAAGUAUGCCGAUCGAAUUUCUUUGAUUGUUAAUAACAUAAGAUUGCUUGGUGAAGAUUUCUCAGAUACAAGAAUUGUGGAGAAAGUUCUUGUGACUCUUCCAGAGAGGUUUGAAUCCAAGAUUUCUUCUCUUGAAGAGUCCAAGGACCUAAGUACGAUUUCAUUAGGUGAACUAAUGAGUGCACUUCAAGCGCAAGAGCAAAGAAGGAAUAUGAGGCAGGAGAGAUUCACCGAAGGAGCUUUCUCUAUGCAAAAGCAAACCCCUUAUAAGGGGAAACAUCAUCCCAACCAGAAAAAGAAGAGCAAGCACGAUGGUGGAAAUUGCAGUGAAGGGUCAAAGAAACUGUUUCCUUCUUGCAAACACUGCAAAAAAACAACACAUCUUGAGAAAUAUUGCUGGUGGAGGCCUGAUGCUGUAUGUGGCAGUUGUAAGCAGAUUGGGCAUGUUUCCAAAGUCUGCAAAUCCAAAAACAAAGGCUCAAAACCUUCUCAAGCUCAAAUGGCAGACGAAAAUAAUGCACAGGAGGAGCAACUUUUUGCAGUUACUUGCUUCUCAAUGAAUGACUUCUCUGAUGCAUGGCUUAUCGACAGUGGCUGCACUCAUCACUUGUGCAAUGAUGCAGAGAUGUUCAGGACUCUUGAUGAUACCUACAAAUCCAAAGUAAAGGUGGGAAAUGGAGAAUUCCUAGAAGUCAAAGGAAGAGGAUUAGUGGCUGUCUUAACAAAAUCAGGUAUCAAAACCAUUCCAGAUGUUUUGUACAUACCUGAAAUUAGCCAAAAUUUGCUAAGUGUUGGGCAAAUGCUUGAAAAAAAUUAUUCACUUCUUUUUAAGGAUGACAAAUGCAUUGUUUUUGAUCCUUCUGGAGUUGAAUUAUUUAGUGUGAACAUGAAAAAUAGAAGUUUUGUGGUAAAUUGGGAGAAAGCAUCUGAGAAAGCUUACACAAGUGCUUCACAUUCAAUUACAAACUUAUGGCAUAAAAGGCUGGGACAUUUCAAUCAAAGAACAAUUGCUGAAAUGAACAAGAAGGGUCUGGUGGAAGAUAUGCCUGAAAUUUCCUAUGAUACUCAAGUUUGUGAGAUCUGUCAGCAAGGGAAGCAAUCGAAGCUACCAUUUCAAACAAAUCAGGCAUGGAGAGCAAAUCAAAAACUUCAACUCGUCCACACUGAUGUGUGUGGUCCGAUGACAACCAAGUCCUUGAGUGGUAACAAUUAUUUUCUCCUAUUUAUUGAUGACUGCACCAGGAUGUGUUGGGUUUAUUUCAUUAAACUCAAAAGUGAAGUCUUUGAUGUGUUUAAACAAUUUAAAGCUUUAGUAGAGAAUCAAUGUAAUCUUAAAAUUAAAGCUUUAAGGUCUGACAAUGGUGGAGAAUAUACUUCUCGCCAGUUUGCUGAAUUUUGUAAAAGUGCAGGCAUUGAACAUCAAUUGACUGUACCUUACACUCCGCAACAAAAUGGGGUGUCUGAAAGGAAGAAUAGGACAGUAAUGGAGAUGGCCAGGUGUCUUUUAAUUGAGAAACACAUGCCAAACCAAUUCUGGGCAGAGGCAGUCAAUACAUCUGUCUAUUUAUUAAAUAGACUUCCCACAAAAGCUUUGCAAGACAAGACUCCUUAUGAAGCUUGGUAUGACCACAAGCCAACAGUACAUCAUAUCAGAAUCUUUGGGUGUAUAUGUUAUUAUCAAGUCUCUGAAUCAAAAAGAAGCAAGCUAGACAACAGGGCUGAAAAAGGCAUUUUCAUGGGCUAUGGUUCAUCGUGUAAAGGGUACAGAAUUUUCUGCUUGAAAACUGAAAAAAUAAUUUUGAGCAGAGAUGUAAAGUUUGAUGAGGCUGCUGUUUGGUGUUGGGAGAAUCAAAAGGAUACUCAUGCUAAUCUCUUUCCAAAAGAGCAACCUCAACUUGUAGCAGAUGAUUUGGUGGAUGACUUACCGGUGAGAGGUACAAAGUCCUUAGAGGACGUUUAUGAAAGGUGUAGCUUAGUUGUCAAUGAACCAACAAGCUACGAUGAAGCACAAGAAUUUCAAGCAUGGAGGAGAGCUAUGCAAGCUGAAUUAGAAAUGAUCAACAAGAAUGAGACAUGGCAGCUAGUUGAUAGGCCAGCAAAUCGCAAGGUGAUUGGUGUAAAGUGGGUCUUUAAGACCAAAUUUAAUUCUGAUGGUUCAGUUUGUAAGCAUAAAGCCAGAUUGGUGGUGAAGGGAUAUGCACAACAAUAUGGUGUGGAUUACCAAGAAACUUUUGCUCCAGUAGCAAGGUAUGACACAAUCAAACUCCUUCUUGCUUUUGCUGCUCACAAUUCAUGGCAAAUUCACCAACUUGAUGUCAAAUCAGCAUUUCUGAAUGGGUUUCUCAAUGAAGAGAUUUUUGUAGAGCAACCUGAUGGUUUUUUAAUUCCUGGUAAAGAGGAUCAAGUUUAUCUUCUAAAGAAAGCUUUGUAUGGCUUAAAACAAGCUCCAAGAGCUUGGUAUGAAAGGAUGGACAAUCAUCUCAUGCGCCUUGGCUUUAGCAGAAGUCAAAGUGAAGCUACCUUGUAUGUAAGAAAUACAGAUGAUGAGUGUUUAGUUGUUUCAAUUUAUGUUGAUGACAUGCUUGUGACAGGUAGCAAACUUGAACUCAUUCAAAAGUUCAAGAAUGAAAUGGAGAAAGUCUUUGAGAUGACUGAUCUUGGAAUCAUGAAAUACUUUCUUGGGAUGGAGGUGCUGCAAACUAAUGAUGGUUUUUUUAUAAGUCAGCAGAAAUACAUUUCUGAUAUUUUAUACAGGUUUAAAAUGCAAGAUUGCAAACCUGUAAGCACUCCAAUUUCUACUGGUUUAAAGCUAGGCAAGGAUGAAAAUGCUGAAAAAGUAGAUGCAAGCCUCUAUAGAAGUUUAAUUGGUAGUCUUCUGUACCUUACAGCUAGCAGACCUGACAUUCUAUUUGCUAUAAGUUUGCUCUCUAGGUUCAUGCAUUCACCUAGGGAAACCCACUUUACAGCUGCCAAAAGGGUGUUAAGGUAUAUAAAAGGAACCAGCACAUUUGGGAUGUUCUUUGCAGCAGUUGCAGGGGAGAAUUUGAAGUUGGUUGGUUACUGUGACAGCGAUUGGGGUGGCUGUAUUGAAGACUCAAGAAGCACUUCUGGAUACUUAUUUUCAUUGGGCACAAGUUUUUUCAGUUGGAGCUCAAAAAAACAAGAAACUACAGCUCAAUCAACAGCAGAAGCAGAGUACAUUGCUGCUGCCUCUGCUGUAAACCAGGCUAUUUGGCUAAGGAAGAUGCUAAAAGAUUUGCAGUGUGAGCAGACAGAAGCUACAAAGAUCAUGUGUGAUAAUAUUUCAGCAGUUUCAAUCUCCAAAAACCCAGUGUUUCAUGGUCGAACGAAGCAUAUCAAAAUUAAGUUUCAUUUUAUCAGAGAAGUUCAACAAUCUAACGAAGUGCUACUUGUACAUUGCUCAUCUGAAAAUCAGCUUGCAGACAUUUUUACCAAGGCCAUUCCUAAGGAGAGAUUUGAAGACUUGAGACAAAGAAUUGGUGUUUGUCACCGAAAUGCCAUGGAGGAGUGUUAGAUUUCUGGCAUUUCAGUUCCAGCAUACUGUUAAUAUUUUUCUGUUAUUUCUUUUUUUUUACAGCAUCAAAUGGUGGAGUUAGUGGCUUAAGUUAGUGGCUGUUUUUUAGCUCUUAGUUGCAGAUUUUUUAUUCAGUUUUUAUCCACCUUAUGAGUGGCUUCUAAAUAGGAAGUUUGUUAUUUUCAUUCUUGUAUAAAUUCUGCAGUAUUCUUCAAUGAAAAAUAUGCUGGAAUUCUCUAUCAAUCUCAUAAGAUUUAAUCUGUAAAUUCUCCACUGUAGUUUGUUUUAACAGAAGUUCCAUGAGCUUAAAUAACCAUUGGGAUCUUCCAAGGAAGCUUUGAUGGAUUUUAAGCAAGAAAUAUCAGUUUCUGUACAAAGGGUUGUAGGAAAAGUAGAAGCUAGUAAUAAAAAGAGAAAUAUGUGGAGAAAAAUCGGAUCAACCAUUCUUGUUAUAUGUAAAAAGCUGCAAAUGGAAUUGAAGAAUGAAGAAUGAUGGAUUGGAUGCAAGAAAGAAGAGGGAGGGAAUGAUUUCUUUAGUUUAAGUAUGUUCUAGUACUGGAUAAUAAUCAGUAAUGAUGGAUAAUCUAAAGUGAAUAAAAAAAAUUGAAAGGAUAUUUUCAGAAAUUAUUUAAAUUAUAUAUAUAUGGACUUAUCGCCAGAGACGAGUAAUAACUCUAUGAAGCUCUCUCCCUCUGGGAAAUCGUGUCUUUGAAAAUUGCCUUGCACCUACUGACAUAAGUGAUAAGAAUGUGCGUGGAGAAGAAUGUGUGGUUCAUGUAAAGAAGGAAUGAGUUGCCAAAAUUGACUUAUCAACUCGAAGAAAGAAAUUGAGAGGAAAAAGAAAGAUCUUCUUUGCGAUUUAAGGAUUGUAGGUUGAAUUUUUGUUUUCAGUAUAAAUUUAUGAAAUAAUAAAUUAUAUCAAAUUCAAACGUUCAUUCAUUGCUUCAGGACUAUGAACUUGUCAAACCAACCCAUAUAAGAAUUGUUCAUUGUAAGUUAUAUAAUCCGAAAUCUUGGGGAAAAAAAAUCAUUUUCAAGCUCUUAAUAAUUCUUGAAGUUUUGGUCACUUAAUUUAUAAUUUCAAUUGUAUCCUUUCCAAUUUAAAAACAUUAAACUAUUUCUUAAUCACAAAAAUAAAAGAACAACAAAUCUAUGCAAAAAAAAUUUCAACAUAUGUUUAAAAGAUAUUGAAAAUUAUACUACUAUUUUGAGAAAUUAUUUAAAUUUUAUCUAUUACAUAUAUACAUAUUGACGAACCAUUGACUUGAAAUUCUACCUUUAUAAUAUUGUUAAGCCAAAACUCUAAGCUAAAUUGCAUAGACCAGAUAAGUAUUAACAAAGAUUAUUUUUUGGUAAAAUUAAAAAAAAAAAACUAUGAAAUAUCAACAAAGAUUAAUACUUGUUAUACAUAUUAUUAUUUAAUUAUAUAUAUAUAUUUUCUAAAUAAUUUUUAUUUUAUGAUAUCAUAUUAUAAAUCAUUUAUAUUUUAAAAAUCGAAAGGCAUAAUUAUAUUUUAAAUUGACGAGAUAUUUCAAAUUGGAGUAAAAUUUAAUGACUUAAAAAGAAAAAUUAAACUAUCUUUUGAUUUUUACAAUACUUUUUAAAAAUACUUUUUUUAUUUGUUACCGAGUUAAGAAUGUAGCUCUAUUACUGAAAGUAUACUUCCAAAAUAAGGAAAAUCUAACUAAAAUUUAUAAUGAAAUGACCUAAAAAGAAAAAUUAUAUAACUCAAUAAAAAGUCAAUAUUAUUUUUCACUUUUUUGGUGUAAAACUAUAUAUAUCAAUAAAAAGUCAAUAAGAAUAAAAUAAUUAAUACUUGUACAAUCAAGAAAGGAAAAUGAUGGUUUUUUUUUUUUUUAACUCUAAAACUAAAGUUUUAAAUAAGAUUAAUACUUUUUUUUUAAAAAAUAAGAUUAAGACUUGUUGGUUUGUAUUACAUAAAUUUUACUUUGUGUUUAAAAUUUGUUUUCAUUUUAAUAAGAUUUCUUGCAAGACUGAUACAAUAACGGACGUUUGGUUAAUAAAAAAAAAAAAAUCAAACGAAAAUCAAUUUCCAAAUAAUAUUUUCUUUAAAAAUGACUUUUUUAAUCGUUAAAAUAUUUACCACUGAUUUAUUUUUUUCCGAACGUAUCAAAUAACGGAAAAUUAUGAAAAAAAAUUUUCCGUAAUUUAUUUUAUAAAAAUAAAUAGAAAUAUACCGUACUACAAUAAUAAAAGGGGAAAUAGAAAUAUAUAUAUAUAUAUAUAUAUAUAUGGACUUAUUGCCAAAGACGAGUAAUAGCUCUGCGAAGCUCUCUCCCUCUGGAAAACCGUGUCUUUGAAAAUUGCUUUGCACCUAGUAGCGGUAAGUGAGAAGAGUGUAAAGAAGGAAUGAGCUGCCAAAAUUGACUUAUCAACUCAUAGAGGAAGGAAAUUAAGAGGAAAAAAAGAAAGAUAAUCUUUGCCAUUUAAGGAUUCUUAUUUUUUUAAAACUCUUUGCAAUUUUAAAACAUUGAAUUUAUAUUCUCAACUUUAUCAAUUAUAUUUUGUUAAUAUUUUUAAAAAAUUUAUUUAUUUGAUCUAUAUUUUGUAGGCACCUAAUUUCUUGUAUUGUAUGUAUAUGUAUUUAAACUCAAAAAAGAAGAUAAAGCAAUAAUAAAGGUACAGACAUGGCUGACAUAGAAAUACUUCUAUUAUUGUAUUUAACUUUUUCUUUAUUUUGCUUCUGUCACGCUUCAACCAAUUAUGCACAACUCAAACAAGGUGAUAUGCUCAACUUUUCCGAUCAGCUUGUUUCGACAAAUGGGCUUUAUGCUUUAAGAUUCUCCGGCAAAUCCCUAGCAAUAAAUUGCACCUACGUGAACACCGAGGCCGGUGAUCUAAGCGACCAUGCUGUCUGGUUAGCCAAAAGAGACAAAACAAUCACCGAAAACUCUAGUUAUCUUACUGUAAAUGAUGCUGGGAAAUUAAUAAUCAAGCAUCCUGAUGGCGAAAUUGAGUUGUAUUCAGGUCCGUUCGCUUCCCCUGAAAAUUUGACAGCUGAAUUAGAAGAUAACGGUAACUUUGUGCUGAAAGCGAAUUCCGGCGGCCAGACACAAAUAUUAUGGGAAAGCUUUGAUAAUCCGACGGACACGCUUUUGCCUGGAAUGAAAUUAGGGUUUAACAGUAAGAAAAAUAAAAAUUGGUCUCUCACAUCUUGGCUAGGUGAAGAAACUCCAACGCUUGGAGCAUUUACUAUGGAGUGGGAUUAUAUAAAACGCGAAAUCAUCGUUAAACGGCGGGGAGUUAUAUUUUGGACUAGUGGGACCUUGACUUCUGAUAAAUCAUUUGCAAACAUUCCUCUUCCAGAUCCGUACAACCAUAACUAUAGGUUCGAUAUAGUUUCAAAUGGAGAAGAGGAAUCUGUUAGCUACCGGCUUUAUUUUAAUGAGUUCACUCUUGUUGAACGGAGAAAUAUUUCCAGGUGGUUUUUAGAUUACGAUGGAAGCAUAUGGGACGCAGGGAGAACAACAAUUUUGAAUUCUGAAGCUUGCGACGGAUAUAUAACAAAAUAUGGAUGCGUGAAAUGGGAACUCCCGAAUUGUAGGAACGAUGGUUCUAAAUUCGAAUUAAGAAUUUCUAACUAUCAUCCGGAUUAUGUCGCAAAUGAUAAAAAUCAGAGUCUUAGCUUCAGUGACUGUAAAGAUCUAUGCUGGAAAGACUGUAAUUGUACUGGAAUUCGGAAUCAUGUGCUAACUGGAUGCUCAUUCUAUCGCGGACCUUUUGAUUUCACAGGUUUGACAGGGAAUGAACCACAAUUUUAUGCGAUCAUCCCUGGUCCCCGGCGUCCCCCUCGUAAGUAUUAGCUAGAUAGUUUAGAUUUAAAUAAUAAUUGAUAUUUAUAAUUGGUUGCUGUUGUUAAAGAAAGUUUGUAUGGCUCUGCUGAAUUAUCUACAGUUAAUAAGGUUUGGAAAUGGAUAGUGAUUGCUUUAGCAAUUGUUGUGUUCGCGGCAUUAGUGGGCAUAUUUCUGUAUUUGCGAUGGAAAAAACUCGAACAAGAAGGUAUAUUUACAUUAUGUCAUUCAUCCUAUAUGUAUUCUUAGCAUUGCUCAAACUGAAUUCCAAGUUUCUAAUUUUUAAUCUUUCUGAAAACAAUCAAACAGAGAAAUUUCUAAAAGAACUCUUGACGUCAAUUUAUUAUUGAGUUAAUCAUUGAAUUAUGUGCUCUAAAUUUGAUGUUGUUUUGAAAAAUUUAAUGUUUAUACUGUCGCACAAAUAUUCUAGAUUUAUUCUACAGUUAUAUGUUAUUUUUAAUUAAUUUAGAACACUAUUUUUGUUGGCUGCCGAACAUGUUGCUGUUUUUUCCUUAUCAUCUCUCACUGGGUCAGUUGAUAUAUAUAUAUAUAUAUAUAUAUAUACAUUUGUUAAAAUUCUACUAUGUGAAAAACGAAUCAUCCAACUUCACUUUUGUUUAAUUUGGUUUCAUGUUUUUUCUGCAAUUUAGUUUGAUUCUUUAUUUGUUCAAGUAAUUUUAAUAGGCUCUGUUUUUUCUCACUUUUAAAUACGGGAAUUAGAACAGAGUGAAACGAUGGUCAUCUUUAUUACAGAAUAAAGAAAUUAAUCUUCAAUUAUGCAAUUACUGCACAGGGAAAAUUUGCAGAUGGGCAAGAAAUAGCAGUGAAGAGACUAUCCAGAACAUCAGGACAAGGGCUAAUAGAGUUCAAAAAUGAGCUUAUACUCAUUGCUAAACUGCAACAUAUGAAUCUUGUGAGACUAUUAGGUUUUUGCAUCCAAGAAGAAGAGAGAUUGUUGAUUUAUGAGUACUUGCCAAAUAAAAGCCUUGACUCCUUCAUCUUUGGUAAGCAAGCUUUCGCUCCUCCUUUCAUGGAAGAAGUUGAAUAUGUUCAUCUCAUUUAUUUAGCUCAUAGUUUUAUUUAUUUAUUUUUUUCAAGAUCAAUCAAGAAAGCAGCUAUGGAAUUGGAGAAAGCGAUAUAAUAUCAUCGAGGGAAUAGCUGAAGGUCUAACUUACCUUCAUAAGUACUCAAGAUUAAGAAUCAUCCACAGAGAUUUGAAAGCUAGUAAUAUAUUACUUGACAAAGACAUGGUUCCCAAAAUCUCUGAUUUUGGUAUGGCAAGAAUUUUCAGGGCAACGGAGUCUGAAGCAAAUACUAACAGGAUUGUAGGAACCUAGUAAGUAAAACAUUAUCAUUAUCAACUUAAUCAAACUUACUUCUCAAUUUCAUUUUUCUUAAUUAAAAAAAAAAAAUAUUGCAGUGGUUACAUGUCUCCAGAGUAUGCUAUGGAAGGAAUUUUCUCCAUCAAAUCCGAUGUUUAUAGUUUUGGAGUUCUAAUGCUUGAAAUUAUAAGUGGUAGAAGAAAUCAGAGCACUUACCAUUAUGAUCGUCCGCUCAAUCUUGUGGGUUAUGUAAGUUUAAUUAUCUUGUUAAUGUUUUCAUAUUAUUGCAUAUCCCUAAAUUAAAUAAAUUAUAUAUUUAUAAAUUAAAUAAAUUAAUUGAUGAGAAUUUUAUCUCAGGCAUGGGAGCAAUGGAAAGGAGGAAGAUGGGAACUAAUAUUAGAUCCGACGGUGAGCGAUUCAGCAUUAAACGACCAAGUUCUGAGAUGCAUUAAUGUGGCUCUGCUAUGUGUAGAACAGGAUCCUUAUGAUAGGCCAACCAUGCCAGAUGUUUUAUCUAUGUUGACUAAUGACGUACAGCUUCCAAUGUCUAAGCAGCCUGCAUUUUAUGUGGGAACUACCACUGUAAAAACAGGUGAGAGUAGUACUAAAGACUUGGCUGAAAAAUUUUCAGUAAAUGGCUUGUCCGCAACCGAUAUGGUUGGUCGAUAAAUCAUCGUUUAUUAUUGUAUUUUUUUUAUUUUAAUUAUCCGGUGUCCUAAGUCCACUGAUCCGAUUAAUUCGGAUUCACUUUGAAUAGAUCUACAAAGAGAGGUAGAGCGUUCCCUUCCUAGUGUUUAAAGAGACUCUAUUUCCUAUAAUAAUCAAUGUGGAAUGUAUACGCGCUUCGAGUAUAGUUAUAUUACAUUAUUUAAAUAAUGUUAUUCUUUAUUUUAAUAUUAAUAAUAUUGAUAAUUAACAUGCAUUUUUUCUUAUUCAAAACUUGACCACAUAAAAUCUCUCCUUUCAAUUAAUAGAUUUUAUAAAAUAAAAUAAAAAGGAAUGAUGUUUCAAAAAAGAGAGAAAAAUAUUUAAAUUCACUGAAUAAAAAAGAAUAUUAUUACUCAUGAUAUUAACAUUAACAAUAUAUUUAAAAGUAACAAAAAUUUUACAAUAUUUAAUUUUAGUUGUUACAUGCAACUAUUCUUAUUCCAAAUAUUAGUAAUUUUGCAUUUAUAUAAGUUAUAUUAGAGAAGAAUUUGUGUUGUAUUCGAAAUUGUAAAAAAGCUUUCGAAAAUUAUGACUUUCGUAGAAUACUAUGUGCAAACAAUUUACUAAUCCUACAAUAAUUUAAUUAAUUCUACUUAUUUUUUAGUUAGUUUAUGUAAUUCAAACAAUUUAAAUGAAUUACAUUAUAAUAUAUAAUUCUAUAUAUAUAUUUUAAAUUAUUCAAUACAGAUAAUUUAAAAUAAUAAUAAUUACAAUUUAAAUAAACACUUAGGUGUCCAAUUAUAAUACAAUAAAAGAUAGAACGUAAAACUCAAAAAUUGAUAAAAUAAGAAAAAAAAUGUUAUAGGAAGUUCAUUUAAUAAUAACUAACUUUAAAAAAAUAAAGAUAAAGUUAACAAAUUAAAAUAUACAGAUAAAUGAGGAAAUGUUUUACAGGUAGAUAUAUUUUUGAAAAAAAAAAAAAAGGAAGUUACUGGUUAUAAUAAAUAAUUUAAUACUCUAAUUAACAAUCAGAAACUAAUUGUGAAACACAAAUUCAAAUAACAAUUAAUUCAUAACGAUUCAAAUAAUUUAUAAUAACAACUAACCUGGUAAACUUCCCGUAUGGAUAAUUCAUGACAUUACCAUAUUGAAUCUUCAAUCUGUAAAUCAAAAUUCAACCUUCAAUUAAUAAACAAACCCAAGAAACUUCUACAGCAAUAAUAUUAACUCCAACAAAGAGCAAUAAAAAAGAAUAACAAACCGAACACAUUUAUCUCAUAUAUAUAUAUAUAUUCAAUUGCUAGUGAAGGAGUCUGAGAUUUGAGAGAGAAUACAUUAAAAUUUCCUCCAGCCUCACGAUCUGAGUUCUAGAAUGUCAAAUUGAGUGUUUUCCAUGCUUCAAUUCACUGUUUCCUCCAGCAUCAUGAUUCUAUCACUCAAAUCCCCAAUAGAUUAGUCAUGUAACAGUGACCUUUCUUCUAGGUUUUGAAAUCACGCGGCGCGGGUCAUCGUGGUUUUCUUUGUGAGUUGCGAAAAAAGCGAGGUAAGGGUUUGGUCUAAAUCGGUUGGCCCUGAUGCCAGUUUGUCAGGUGCAUCAACCAUAGAACCUGAGAUGGAACAUGAAUAUAGAUUUUUGAGUAGUUACUUUGGGGCACAAUAGGCCAGCGAGAGAGAGACAGAGAGAGAGAGAGAGGAGAGUUUUAUAAUUACUUUGGGGCACAAUAGUGAUUGCUUUAGCAAUUGUUGUGUUCGCGGCAUUAGUGGGCAUAUUUCUGUAUUUGCGAUGGAAAAAACUCGAACAAGAAGGUAUAUUUACAUUAUGUCAUUCAUCCUAUAUGUAUUCUUAGCAUUGCUCAAACUGAAUUCCAAGUUUCUAAUUUUUAAUCUUUCUGAAAACAAUCAAACAGAGAAAUUUCUAAAAGAACUCUUGACGUCAGAUAGACCAAGCGAUGCAAAUGAGCUUCAAAAUAGUGGUAACAACGGUCAUAAUUUGCAACUAUAUAGCGUUGCAUCCAUAAGAGCAGCUACCAAUUCGUUCUCAUUGCAAAAUAAACUCGGACAAGGUGGUUUUGGACCUGUUUACAAGGUAGAGUUAUAUAUAUAUAUAUAUAUAUAUAUAUAUAUACUCAUUGCUAAACUACAGCAUAUGAAUCUUGUGAGACUAUUAGGUUUUUGCAUCCAAGAAGAAGAGAGAUUGUUGAUUUAUGAGUACUUGCCAAAUAAAAGCCUUGACUCCUUCAUCUUUGGUAAGCAAGCUUUCGCUCCUCCUUUCAUGGAAGAAGUUGAAUAUGUUCAUCUCAUUUAUUUAGCUCAUAUUUUUAUUUUUAUUUUUUUUCAAGAUCAAUCAAGAAAGCAGCUAUUAAAUUGGAGAAAGCGAUAUAAUAUCAUCGAGGGAAUAGCUGAAGGUCUAACUUACCUUCAUAAGUACUCAAGAUUAAGAAUCAUCCACAGAGAUUUGAAAGCUAGUAAUAUAUUACUUGACAAAGACAUGGUUCCCAAAAUCUCUGAUUUUGGUAUGGCAAGAAUUUUCAGGGCAACGGAGUCUGAAGCAAAUACUAACAGGAUUGUAGGAACCUAGUAAGUAAAACAUUAUCAUUAUCAACUUAAUCAAACUUACUUCUCAAUUUCAUUUUUCUUAAUUAAAAAAAAAAAAAAUAUUGCAGUGGUUACAUGUCUCCAGAGUAUGCUAUGGAAGGCAUUUUCUCCAUCAAAUCCGAUGUUUAUAGUUUUGGAGUUAUAACGCUUGAAAUUAUAAGUGGUAGAAGAAAUUAUGAUCGUCCGCUCAAUCUUGUGGGUUAUGUAAGUUUAAUUAUCUUGUUAAUGUUUUCAUACUAUUGCUUAUCCAUAAAUCAAAUAAAUUAUAUAUUUAUAAAUCAAAUAAAUUAAUUGUCGAGAAUUUUAUCUCAGGCAUGGGAGCAAUGGAAAGGAGGAAGAUGGGAACUAAUAUUAGAUCCGACGGUGAGCGAUUCAGCAUUAAACGACCAAGUUCUGAGAUGCAUUAAUGUGGCUCUGCUAUGUGUAGAACAGGAUCCUUAUGAUAGGCCAACCAUGCCAGAUGUUUUAUCUAUGUUGACUAAUGACGUACAGCUUCCAAUGCCUAAGCAGCCUGCAUUUUAUGUGGGAACUACCACUGUAAAAACAGGUGAGAGUAGUACUGAAGACUUGGCUGAAAAAUUUUCAGUAAAUGGCUUGUCUGUAACUGAUAUGGUUGGUCGAUAAAUCAUGGAUUAUUAUUGUAUUUUUUUUUUUUAAUUUUAAUCAUUUGAUGUCCAAAGUCCACUUACCCGUUUAAUCUGGGAUUCACUUCGGGCAGACCUAAAGGGACUCCAUUUUCUAUAAUAAUCAAUGUGGAAUGUAUAUAUAAAUUAGUCAUUGUUACGCCCUUUGAGCGUAGUUAUAGUACAUUGUUUAAGUAAUAUUAUUAUGUAUUUUAAUAUUAAUAAUAUUGAUAAUUAACAUGCUUUUUUUCUUAUUCAAAACUUGACCAAGUAAAAUCUCUCCUUUCAAUUAAUAGAUUUUAUAAAAUAAAAUAACAAGGAAUGAUAUUUCAAAAAAAGAGAGAUAAAAUAUUUAAAUUCAUUGAAUAAAAAAGAAUAUUAUUACUCAUGAUAUUAACAUUCACAAUAUAUUUAAAAGUAACAAAACAUUUUACAAUAUUUAAUUUUAAUUGUUACAUGCAACUACUCUUAUUUCAAAUAUUAAUGGUUUUGCAUUUAUAUAAGUUCAAUUAGAGAAGAAUUUGUGUUGUAUCCGAAAUUGUAAAAAAGCUUUCGAAAAUUAUGACUUUCUAGAAUACUAUGUGCAAACAAUUUAAAUGAAUUAUAUUAUCAUAUGUAAUUCUAUAUAUAUAAUUGAAAUUAUUCAAUACAGAUAAUUAAAAAUAACAAUAGUUACAAUUUAAAUAAGUACUUAGGUGUCCAAUUAUAAUACGAUAAGAUAGAACGUACAACUCAAAAAUUGAUAAAAUAAGAAAAAAAAUGUUAUAAGAAGUUCAUUUAAUAAUAACUAACUUAAAAAAAUAAAGAUAAAGUUAACAAAUUAAAAUAUACAGAUAAAUGAGGAAAUUUUUUACAGGUAGAUAUAUAUAUAUAUAUAUAUUUUUUUUUAAAAAAAGGAAGUUAAUACUGAAAUUAAAUAAUUUAAUACUCUAAUUAACAAUUAGAAACUAAUUGCAAAACACAAAUUCAAACAACAACUAAUUCAUAACAAUUCAAAUAAUUUAUAAUAACAACCAACCUGGUAAAACACAACAAUAAGUUAAUAAUCAACACUCAAUCUUAUAGAUGAUGAUGUAAGCUAAAUUCAAUUGCUAGUGAAGGAGUUAGAGGGAGAAUAGAGAAUGAAGGCAUUUUAAGAUUGUAAUGGCUAAUGGAAAAUAGAUAGGUGGAAAAAGGAAUAUGAACGGAAAAUAUAUAACUGAAAGCAAAAUAAAAUAAAAUCAAACAAAAGGUAAUUAUAUAUAACUUAAAUACUCAAAGAAUAGAUAAUUAUACAUAGAUAAACUUCAACGAUUUAAAUAAUUUAAUAUGGAUAAUUCAUAGUAUAAUAAUAAUUAAAAUAUUUAAGUUGCCUAAUCGCAACACAAAAAUUAAAGAAAAUGUUUAAAAAUUUCUAAAAAAAGAAAAAUACGCCUCAAACUUCUCUUUAUUUCAACUUUUAUAUAUAUAGAUGUUUGUACCAUAAAACAUUUCAUUCUUAAUUGUCAAUUGAAAAUACAAUACUACACUAUGUGACAACAGCUUUUAAAGUAGCCGUGAGUAUUUUGACCGAGGGUAAAAUGUUACCUCUAUUAUUUUAAAUUGUUUAGUGACGUAAGCUUUAUAGAAGUGUUUAGAGUUUGAGGGCCAUCAACAUCCAAUUCGCUGGACUCCUCCGACUGCUGGCAUGUAUAAGCUUAAUGUUGAUGCUUCUUUUGUUCACCAAACUGGGACUACUGGUUGUGGUUGGUUCUUACAAGAUAGUUUUAGCUCAUGUGUUGGUGGCGGGAUGAAGCAGUUAGGCAAGGUGCAGUCGCCUUUAAUGGCAGAAGCUCUAGGCAUUAGAGAAGCCCUCAAUUAGUUGAAAAGAAAAGGUUUUGUGUUACAGGUGGAUGUGAAAGGUGAUUCCAUGCUUCUAAUGCAGGCUCUUAGUCGACAGGAAGAAGAUUCCUCUUAUGUUGGUUCUCUUAUGUCUGAAUGUAAAGCCCUUAUUGCUAAGUUUUCUUCAGUUUCUGUUAGGUAUGUUAAAAAGACAACGAAUUAGAUUGCUCAUUCCUUAGCAAGGGCAUUUGUUUCUAUGACUGGCUUUAUGGAUUGGGAUUCUGAGUACCCAUCCUUUUAUUUCUGAUGUAAUGGCUUUUGAUAGUAUUAACAAAACUAAGCCAUGUGGAUUUUUCAAAAAAAGUGUUUAGAGUUUGUGAGAGCAAAUUAUGAAAUGUUACUCACUUUAAUCUUAGUUAAACAGAUAAAAGCUAUAGACCUGUCAGGUGCAUCAACCAUAGAACCUGAGAUGGAACAUGAAUUUAGGUUUUUGAGUAGUUUUGGGCGCAAGAGGCCAUCGAGAGAGAAAGGAUAGAGAGAGAAGGAGAGUUUUAGCAAUAGAGCAUACUUUUAACAUUGUCGUAAUUCCAAAGGAAGCAAUACAAUAGUUUGUAUACCUUAGCUAGGUGGCACCCCACUCCACAUUACUAGCCCGUAAGAAAGAACAUGAUAUCUGACUCAUCAUUAUUAUACGUCAGUUACAAAUAACCACCCCCCCCCCCCCCCCAAAAAAAAAAAAAAAAGAUUAAAUACUAAGAGUUCAAGUCCUUAUUACAUAAUUAUAUCCUAACAACUACCCUUCCCUUUAAGCACAAGCCUAUCCUCAAGCUUAAAUUCUGGAAAUUGCUUGGCAAUGAAAGCGGCAUCUUCCUAGGUGGAAUCAGAUAAAGCCAUGUUCUUCCAAAGGAUGAGAACCUAAAGGACCUGCUAGUUGUGUUUUGUGAUUUUUCUGGAUUGAAGCACUUGGUAUGGUUUAAUGAUUAGACCGCUAGAAAAAGAAAGUUGAGGCAAAUCUGUAGUCACUGGAGCUAUUGGUUUCACAGACUUCUUAAGUUGAGAUACAUGAAACACUGGAUGUAUUUGACUAUCAAGAGGGAGUUGCAACUUAUAUGCAGCAACACCAAUUUGAUAGAGAAUAAAAAAUGGGCCAUAAAAUUUAGCAGACAGCUUCAAAUUCUUGAGUGCCAUAGUACUCUGUCUAUAGGGUUGGAGCUUCAAAUAUACCCAAUCACCAACAGAGAACUGUCUCUCAAUUCUUUUAGAAUCUGCAAAUUGCUUCAUUCUGUUUGGAGCUAUAGACAAAUUGUGUUUUAGAAGCUAAGAUGGUUGUUGCCUUUCGAACAAAAGAUCCUCAAGAGAUGCAGCAGAAGAAAAACCAGGAGAUAAUUGAGGUAAAAGAGGGGGAUCAAACCCAUAUACAGCUUUAAAAGGGGACAUAUUAAUGCUGGAAUGAAAUGUGGUAUUGUACCACCAGUUUGCCAAACUUAGCCAUUUACACUAAUUAGAAGGAUAAGUAGAAGUCAUACACCUCAGAUAGGUCUCAAUGCAUCUGUUGACCUAUUCAGUCUACCCAUCAGGUUGUGGGUGAUAGGCAGAACUGAAAUUCAGCUUGGUGCCCAAAGAAUGGAAUAAUUCCUUCGAAAAUAGACUUGUGAAAGUCUUAUCCCUGUCAGAAACAAUUGUCUGUAACAUACCAUGCAAUUUAAAAACCACAUCAAAGAAAAGAAUUGCCACUUUUUGAGCUGUGUAAGGAUGGGAAAGGGGAAUAAAAUCAAUGGAAAUAGGCAACUAAGCUUGUGUAGGGAUGGUAACGGCUGUAAGAGACUAGGAUAGGGAACUAAGAUAUUCUAUACUACUUGUUGCGAUUUUGUACACUUGCGAAAAUCACUGUCAGCAAUUUCUUAUUCUUUUAUAAGGUCUAAGAUAUUCUUUUACUCGUGAACUAAAUAGUAUUUAUAUAUAUAUAAUAAUGAAUAUAUCUUAGUAAACACAUGCUAACGUAUGUAAUAAAAGACAUCAAGAAUUUUAGAAAUUAAUAUUCGAUCUACAUUUACCUUUUUUUUUUUAAUAGAUAUACAUUUACCUAUAUUAUAAAAAAUUAAUUAUUAUAAAAUACACAAAGGCAAAAAAUUAAAAUUUUAUAAUUGACAAUUGAAAAUAUGAGACAAUGUUUUAAAAAUUUAAGUUGAAUACAUUUUAUUUGCUUUGCAUUAAUAAAAUUUUCUUUAAAUACAGUUAAUAGAUAAUAAAAAUUCUACUUUUAAUUUACAAAAAAUUGAUAUACAGGACGGGGCUAUUAGUUACAUGUUUACAGAUAGAGAUGCUUUAUCUUCCAACUCUUAUAUUUCUAAUGCGGAUAUAUAUAUAUAUACUCAAUUAAUACUCAAUUAAGUGUAAUUAAUUAAAACUUAAAAAUAAAAUUAUUCAGUUUGAAGUUUUUUCUAAAUCAAAUAUAUAAUUUCGGUUUAUAAAAAAAAUAAAUUGAAUCAAAUCGUAAAAGGUACUUAAUUUAAUUCAAACCUAUGAACAUCGAUAGGUUAUUUUGGAUAAACCGAGUAAUUUUUAGCGUUUUAUAUAUUCUAUGAAUAUCUUUUAUAUAUUUGAAAAUUUUUUUAUGCUUUGAUAAUAAAAUUUAAUCUUAUAUUAAUUUUUAAAUUUUAAUUCUCCAUCUAAAUUAUUAGAUUAAGCAAUAAUGUUAAUAUUGCUAGCCAUAUAUUGAAAUUAAUUACUAAAAAAAAUUAUCAAAGUUUUCAUGAAUAAUUUAUACAUAUUGUAUACUAAUAUAUUUCCUAUAUAACCUUGUAACAUUUGGAUUGCUAACUAUUUAUUUACAUCAGUUAUUAGAAAUUAAAAAAAAAAUUAUCAAAGACUAUGGUUUAAUUCACGUCUAAUCUAAUACAUAAUGUACACUAAUUAAUAUAUUUUCCGCAAUCAACCUUCAACAUUUUCUUUUUUUGAAAGGAAUCAACCUUCAACAUUUGAAAUUUGCAUAAAGUAAUUAUAUAUAAUUUAUAGAAAAAAAUAUUAUUUAAUCCUUAACAUUUGACCAAAUUAACUAACUCAUCUUUGCAUUUUGAUAAUAUUAAUUACUAGUCCCUGAGGUUUACUUCUAUUAAACUAGUUGACACUUUCAUUCAAUUUCUUUCAUUUUAGCCGUUAACUCCAUUGAAAAAGACGGAAAUAUCCUAACUUUUAAUAUGGAAAAGACUAAAUUAACCCAGGAUUAACUAUAUUAUGGAGGGAAAACCAAAAGUCAUACUCCAUUCUUUGAUUAAAAAAUCAAAACUGAAAGAUGCAACUUUGAUUAAAAAAUCUUGAUUUUGCAAUAAAUAGUAAAUCCUAUAAAAAAUUUUUGCUAUCAACAGAUUUAAUUAGCAUUUUCCAUUUUAAAACUCUAAGCGGCAGAUGGCAAUUAGCAGUUUUUAAAUAAAAUAAAAAAGUUUAACGAACAUUUUGUAUGGAGAAAUCAAGUGGUGGAAAAUAAACAUGAAACUGGAUAGGAACCUCAUAAACCAUUUGUUAAUCACAAAGAUGAAUGGCCUUCCCUGAAGUCUUCGUCGACUUUAUUCAAAUACAAGUCUUGAUUCCAGAUGAAAUCGGGAACUGCAAGUCUCUCGAGUUUCUCGAACUACCAAAUUUAUCUUUUUUUUUUUUCCUGGUUCUUGUGUUAGCUGUUAAGCAAUGCAAACUACCGGCGAAAAUUCCUGAGUGCCGAUUUGACAAGAAUUCAUUGAUUUGCAGAAAUUCAAAGCAUAUUUUGCUAAAAAUGGCGUCUGCAACCACAAGUUCGCUCCAGAGGCAACCAGGUUGAGAUGCGCCGGCGUUACCUGUUAAAUGGGAACAACGAUCACGUUAGUCCUUUCUUUUCGUUCUAGGUUGAUCAAAAGGUUCCAUCAAACUUCAGAGCAAGCUGAUGAGUUAUUGUUGCUCUUUCUUUUUGAUCAAGAAUGGAAUAUGACUUUUGGUUUUCUCUCACAGCAAUGGUAUAGUUAACAUAGGUUAAUUUAGUCUUUUCCAGGAAAAAUUAGGGUAUUUCCAUCUUCUUAAAUGGAGUUAACGGAAAAACGAAAAAAAUUGGAUGGAAAGAUCAAUUAAUUUAACGGAGAUAAACCUCAGGAACUAAUAAUUAAUAUUAUCAAAAUACAAGGAUGAGUUAGUUAAUUUAAUCAAAUGUCGGGACUAAAUAAUAAUUUUCUCUAAUUUAUAUAACUAAUGUGGGUAGUCUAUUAUUGAGCCAUAAAUAAACAAAAUUUUCAUUUUUAUGCUUCAAAAUUCAUAGCUCCCGCCUUUAAACAGAGGAAUCAAAGGCUAAAAUGAUAUAGCAGUACCAUUGACUGACAUUUUUGAGGUUUGCAUUAACCACUCUGUUUUGAACUUCUCUCUUCUUUUGUUUUUAAUUCUCAGCCACUCUCUUACUUUCCCAAGAUAACAAUUGUUAAAAUAAGAUGUUUGCUAAAUACAAUUAUAUAAUUAAUUACUUCAGCUUAAGCAAUAUGAUAACCAGAAAUGGGUUUUAUUAUUACUCAAAAAUCUGAAAUCUGCUUCUGAAUAAAAAAUUACAGCCCUUUGUAUGGCACACGUCAAGCCAGAAUAAGGUUUAAUACAUAAAAAUCUUCUCUUUUUUUUAUUUUUACUUAAAUAACACACAAAUAUGAAAUUGCCAGAGUACAGUAGAACUUUAUUCCUGCAUUAACAGAUAAUCCAAAAAGUAGGCAAAAUCACUCAUGAGCAAGUGCUACUACCUGUUUUCCAACGUUCCGGCCGCUGAAAAGGCCCAGCAGUGCAGAAGGACCAUUCUCAAUGCCUUCAGCUAUGUCCUCCACAUAAGUAAUCUUGCCUUCUCUAAUGUGAGGCAGAACAAAGUCCAAGAACUUAGAAUACUGGCUGAAGUAAUCAAAAGAUACAAAUCCUUGUAUUCGAACUCGUUUAUAAACAAUUGGCAUCAAAUUGUGCACUCCUUCUGGGUGCUCCAGAUUGUAUUGAGAAAUCAUUCCGCAGGCAGCGACUCGGCCAUGGGUCCUCAAGUUUAGAAGAACCGCAUCAAGCAUUUUUCCUCCAACAUUCUCAAAGUAAAUGUCAAUGCCUUCAGGAAAAUAUCUGGAGAAUGGAAUUUAAUGAGUUCUAUUACAUAUUAGAUGGCUCUGAGAAUUUUUGUACGGAGAUUACAUUAGUCUCACCAAUAUGUGGUAAGAAAUUUUCUCAUGCUUGUGGUCACACAAUUUCGGUUAUGAAAAAAACAAAAGUAUUUCAUUGGAAUGCACAAUGUUAUCAUGACGUAUGUUUGUCAUAGAUAAGAGCAAGAAAUGUUGGCACAGCAUGGGAAAGAUACCAGAUUUUCAUAUUUUAGUUUUACAUAUUCUUGUUAGGGUACAUAUUGUUCUACCAAUAUUUGAAUAAUAGGAAGACAUAUAUAUUAAGUGUAGGCAAGCAAAGAUCCCCAAAAAAUUAAAAUAAAUGGGAAUUAUGUCAAACAAAGAAUUUAAAAUUUUCCAUCAAGUUUGAGAGGAAUGUUUUUAACUUUUUCUUAAAUAACACACACUGACCUUUUCAAUGCUGCAUCCCAGUCUUGCUCCUCUUUAUAAUUGAAAGCAGCAUCGAAACCAAACUUGUUCGUCAAUAAGUCAANNNNNNNNNNNNNNNNNNNNNNNNNNNNNNNNNNNNNNNNNNNNNNNNNNNNNNNNNNNNNNNNNNNNNNNAAAAAGCCAUCCAAUCACUACAUUGAAUAGAGAAGAGACAUAAUACAAAAUAUAUAUUUCAUGCAAAAUGCAGAAAGUGAUCAUACAAUAGAACUUUGGCAAGUAAAUAGAAGUUAAAUGACGAUUAGGAUGAUAAUUCUUGAUUCUUUUCAUGUAACAAGUCAUUCAAUAAGAAAUGAAGGUGAACCAAAGAUUGAAGUGUGCUCUUCAUAGUGAUUCACCUUUUGUUGACUUCCAGCGCUGCCCACAACAUAGCAACCCAUCAACUUUGCAAACUGCCCAACAAGCUGACCAACUGCACCCGACGCUGCUGAAAUGUAGACACGUUCUCCUUCUUUAGGAGAACAAAUAUCUUGCAGACCGAAGUAAGCAGUGAUGCCAGGCAUACCUAUUAAAACAAGAAAUAAGUUAAAAAUUUACAAACGAUAAUAUCCUAACCAGAAAAGAGACCGGAUAUUAAACAUUGUUGAAAUUUUGUCCGGAUGGUUCUAUUAACAGCAACAAAGUAGUCUGAAUCUUGUAUAAAAAAACUUUUCAAGUCUCAGUUGUUUAGCUAUACAAGUCUAGAUUACUAUUAUAAGAAAAGCUACAAGUUUGAGAACCUUUCAAUAGAAAUUUUGAUUAGAGAAUCAAACCAAUGAUGCCAAAAAUAAGAAAAUUCCAUCAAUACCUUUCCAAUUAAUCUAAACUAUCAUAAUCAAAGAACUGAUAAAUCUAAAUUCUGACUAGAGAUUGACAAAAAUUAAGAAAACUCCAUAGAUACCCAAACUCCUAAUUUAUCUACAUACAAUAGUCAAUAACACCUCAAUUUCAUCAAUAAGUCCUAACCAAUCCUGACCAGAAAAGGAAAAGAAAUUCCACCAGUAGCAAAAGUCCUAACCAAUAAAAAUUCCAAGUAUCAUAAACUGAAGAAAGAACUUACCAAGUAGUCCAGCGUAGUAGGAAAGGGGAAUAUCUGUAUGGAGGAUUUUAAAGUAGCUUUCAGGUUUUGUUAAAAGACUAUACUCUUCCCAACUUAUAACUCCCCAUAACAAGUCACCUUUCUUGAAGUCAGGAUGCCCUGAAUCCACCACUUUAGCCACUGCAAAUCCACUUAUUGGCUUUUUUUUUUUUAAAAAAAAAAAAAGAAAAAAAGAAGAGAAGAAAGGACUAAUAAAUAAUAAAACAAUUUACAAACGAUGAGAAGAAAAGGUAUUCAGAGAACAAAAACAGAGCAAUUCAAUUGAUGUAGUAAUUUCACAUCAAAAUCAUCAUAUUUUCCAUCACAUUUAUAAGAAAUUAAUACAACCCCAGAAACAAACAACUAUAAUUGGUUCCAAAAAAACCCAAAAAUAAAUAAUAACACAAUUUAUAAAAUAUAAAGAAAAAUGGAUUGAGAGAAAUUACAGAGCCAGGAGUGAAAGGAGCGAAUUCGGUAUCAUCAGCCGGGCCAUUACUCAUGCGACCACGCAUAUAAGGAUCACAAGACAAGUAGAGAUUCUUGACCAAAACAGCUUUACUUCCUUCUGGUACUUUAAGCUUAAUAGAAGUAGUGUUUAUGUACAAGUCAGAUUAAAGUCAGAUUCAUUAGGAUACCCAGUCACAUGGUUCUUUAAUAUCACCUGCUUAUUGCUCACUACCUCGCCUUCGUUUGCCAUUGCUUCUAUUUUCUGUUUCUGAGUACUUCUUUCUAUAAAUGACCUUGACUUAUA
rnacentral:lncRNA from 1 species